UACGUAGGGAGCAAGCGUUGUCCGGAUUUAUUGGGCGUAAAGAGCUCGUAGGCGGCUUAGCAAGUCAGAUGUGAAAACUCCAGGCUCAACCUGGAGACGCCAUUUGAUACUGCUAUGGCUUGAGUUCGGUAGGGGUAAGCGGAAUUCCUGGUGUAGCGGUGAAAUGCGCAGAUAAUCAGGAGGAACACCGAUGGCGAAGGCAGCUUACUGGGCCGAUACUGACGCUGAGGAGCGAAAGCGUGGGGAGCGAACAGG
rnacentral:rRNA from 1 species